rnacentral:rRNA from 1 species
GACGAACCGUGCAAACGUUGUUCGGAAUCACUGGGCUUAAAGGGCGCGUAGGCGGGCGGACAAGUCCGGGGUGAAAUCCCCCAGCUUAACUGGGGAACUGCCUUGGAUACUGGUCGUCUUGAGGGAGGUAGGGGCAUGCGGAACUUCCGGUGGAGCGGUGAAAUGCGUUGAUAUCGGAAGGAACUCCGAUGGCGAAAGCGGCGUGCUGGACCUCUUCUGACGCUGAGGCGCGAAAGCCAGGGGAGCAAACGGG